GGGAGACAGUGUCAAAGGCUUUGCUGAGGUCUAAGAAGACCACAUCAACAGCCUUUCCUUCAUCUAUUUGACGGGUCACAGGAUCGUGGAAGGAGAUCAGAUUGGUCAAGCAGGACCUGCCCUUCAUGAACCCAUGCUGGGUAGGUCUGAUCUCUUGGUCAUCCCACACCUGCCUCGUGAUCUCCCUCAAGACAAUUUGUUCCUCCUUCCUUAUAGCAUGGAAGACCAGGCUGGAUCGGGCGGUGAGCACCUGGUCUGGAGGGAGGUGUCCCUGCCUAUGACAGGGGGUUGGAACUAGAUGGUCACAAAGUUCCCUUCUAACCCAAACCAUUCUAUGGCUCUAUGAUUCUGUGACAGUUACUGAGUAAGAUCUGAAACAGGAAUCCUGAGCCACAGAACAGGCUCAAUCAUGGAACAGGUUUCCCAGAGAGGUUAUGGAUGCCACACCUCUUCACAUGAACACUUGCAGGUGUUGGAUUGGGCCCUGGCAGCAAGCUACAACAGUAAUCUUUCUAAGAUGGAGAGAACCAGCAAAACAAUAUUUGACAGGAACAUGAGUUCCAGUAAGUACAUUUCUUCAGGCAUCAUUCAACUCUAAAGUAUGGAACAAAUAACAAGCUAGGAAACCAAGGCUGAAUGUAAAACACAAUCAAAACGAUUUGCUGCUUGGCAGAUUAUAAUGGCACUUCUCAGAUCUGUCUGUAAUUAGAGCCCCAAGCUAUAGUACUUUAGUGUGAGAAGCUAAAAAUGGGUUUGCACCACCAAGUUUACAGAGCUCAGAGGGAAACUGGAGUUCAUAAAGUGAAAAGUCUUCGAGGCCAAUGGACAAUGAAAGCCACAGACAGAAUUGCAACCGUUCUCUGGUUCUCAUUUCAAAAGGAGCAUCCACCAAAUGUGAAGCAAAUCUGGAGGUAAAAGCCAUCAUCUUUUCUUUUGUGAUUAAGACAUAACACCUCCACACUACAUGACACCACUAUUUUUCCCUUGUUUCAUUAUUUCAACAGGUGCUGCUCUUGUGGUAGACAGUUCUCUGCCAUAUAUUUUAUUUCUGAAAAGAUCUCAUUUUUCAUACCAAACUUUUCAUUGUUGCUGUGCUUUCCCUUGGAAGAAGAAACUGAAUUUAAUUGCAGUCUAAAGCCUUGCCGGAAUCUGGUCAGAAACCUCAGCUGAAUUACUCGUACAAGGAAAGUCUCCUGCUAUGCACACUGCUGUCCUCACCCUUUGGGCCAGUGAAUGGAUCAGAUUCAUUACAGCAUCAACUGUCCCCACUCCUAGGUCAGAAAAAUUAGUAU